UACGAAGGGGGCUAGCGUUGCUCGGAAUCACUGGGCGUAAAGCGCACGUAGGCGGGUCGUUAAGUCAGGGGUGAAAUCCUGGAGCUCAACUCCAGAACUGCCUUUGAUACUGGGAAUCUCGAGUCCGGGAGAGGUGAGUGGAACUGCGAGUGUAGAGGUGAAAUUCGUAGAUAUUCGCAAGAACACCAGUGGCGAAGGCGGCUCACUGGCCCGGUACUGACGCUGAGGUGCGAAAGCGUGGGGAGCAAACAGG
rnacentral:rRNA from 1 species